rnacentral:rRNA from 1 species
UGGGGAAUCUUGCGCAAUGGCCGAGAGGCUGACGCAGCGACGCCGCGUGGGGGAUGAAGCAUUUCGGUGUGUAAACCCCUGUUGCUCGGGACGAACGAUCCUUUUCGAGGGAUGUGACGGUACCGAGUGAGGAAGCACCGGCUAACUCCGUGCCAGCAGCCGCGGUAAUACGGAGGGUGCGAGCGUUGUCCGGAAUCACUGGGCGUAAAGGGCGCGUAGGUGGUUGGAUGCGCCGGUGGUGAAAGCGCGGGGCUCAACCCUGCGUCGGCCAUCGGGACGGUCCGACUAGAGCACUGUAGAGGCAGGUGGAAUUCCGGGUGUAGCGGUGGAAUGCGUAGAGAUCCGGAAGAACACCGGUGGCGAAGGCGGCCUGCUGGGCAGUGGCUGACACUGAGGCGCGACAGCGUGGGGAGCAAACAGG